AUACGGAGGAUCCGAGCGUUAUCCGGUUUUAUUGGGUUUAAAGGGUGCGCAGGCGGCCAUUUAAGUCAGCGGUUAAAUCUUGGGUCUCAACCCCAUUCUGCCGUUGAUACUGGGUGGCUUGAUUGCGGUCGAGGUUGGCGGAAUUCGUUGUGUAGCGGUGAAAUGCAUAGAUAUGACGAAGAACACCGAUUGCAUAGGCAGCUGCGCAACACGCAAAUUACGCUCAUGCUCGAAAGUGCGGGGAUCGCACAGGAUUAGAUACCCUGGUAGUCCGCAGAGUAAGCGAUGCAUACUUGUUUUCGGCGAUAUAAUGUCGUACGCAAAGCGCCAGCGAUAACGAUUCCACCUGGGGAGUUCGCCAGCAACGGUGAAACUCACAUGAAUUGGCGGGG
rnacentral:rRNA from 1 species